UGAGGACAGAAGGCAGAGAGAUGGAUAGAUAGAACAGAAGCAAAAGAGUGAGGACGGAAGGCAGAGAGAUGGAUAGAUAGAACAGACGGGAAAGAGUGAGGGCAGAGAGCAGAGAAGUGAAAGCAGGGAAGUGUGCGGAGAGAGAAGCGCAGAGUGAGGGCGGAGAGCAGAGAAGUGAAAGCAGCGAAGCAGCACUUGCGGGGAGAAAAACAGAAGGAGCAAGCUGCCUUAUCUCUCGGUUAAAUCUUUCCAAACUUAUAUUUUAUUUCUGUUUUAAUAAUGUGUAACUAAAUUUAUUUUGGCUAGAGGUUAAUUCAAAGCCAUGAAUAUAUUUGUAAUAUGAAUUGAUUACCUUCAAUUGUGAUUUCUGAGUUGUGAUUUAAUUUGUUAACUGCUUGAUUGAUAGCUUAUUUUUUGUAUGUCGAUUAAGAAUGCAUAACUAAUUUACAUGCAUGAAUUUUGACGCUAGAAUAUAAGGGAGUUUCACCUAAUCGUUAUGAACUAUAUUCACAAGUAGUGAAGGUUGCUAGCACAAUCACGUUAAGUAUUCUUGGCAUAAUUUCAUGCAAAUCAUAGUAACGAGUGUCCUCGUCAAUGCUUUUUUUCAUAGAAUAAUGAUUGUUGUUUGUAUUCUAUUAUGCAAUUCAUGUAGGGAACUUGUAGGGAAUGUUUUGGGUUGUCGUAUGCAAUCAUAACCCAAUAACUUGUGGAAAAACUGAAGGUUAAUUAGUGCAUCACGGUUAUUUUGGGGCAUUGAGAUUUACAAUUUAUUGAAAGAACAACUGAAAAUCAAUUUAGGUGCAUAUGUUCAUGUGUGGAAAGAACCCUCUAGCAGUCCGUCACCUAUCAUUUCACCUUAAUUCAUGCUUUUGUCAAUUCUGUAAUUUAUUUAAGUUAAUUUACUUCUCGUCAAAACCAAACCCCCCCCCCCAUUAUUAAAUUAUAUUAUUUAGUUAGUUUUCAUUGUUGUUAGUGUUUAAUUCAAUUUCCGUCCAUUUCAUUUCCUAGUGGUCAAUUUGAUUGUUUUCAUUAUUUUGAGUCAUUCUAAGUGUGUUCGAUUAUUAGAGUUUAGCCUAGUUUUGUGUCUUUGAGUCUUGUUUAAUAUUUUUAAAUUAAUUUAGAAUAGAUUAGCAAUCCCUCCUAAUCCCCGGCCUAGAACGAUACCCUAUACAUCUAUACUACAAUUCAAAAAGAGGGUAAAUUUUGUGUGCUUAUAUUAUUCGCAUCAAUUUUUGGCGCCGUUGCCGGGGAUUAGCAACUUUGCUAAUCCCUUUAUUUUUUUUUGUUUAUGUUUAUAUUGGUGUUUGUGUAUUUUACUUUUGAUAUUUGAUUAGUUUUCUUUUUUGAUUUUAGGUACAAAUGGAGCAAGACAUGGCAUUUGCGACCAUUCAAGCUCAAUUGGCACAGCUCACUGCUCAAUUGACUCAUAAUGCCGAACGGACACAAUGCCAAGUGUCCCUACACUUGAUGUGCCCUAUGGGCAAGGAUAUCAAAGUCCUCAUUUUCUGCAAAAUGAAGAUGUUUGGGGAUAUCAAGGCCAAACCAAUCAAGGGGCAACAUGUUUUCCAAUGCUUGCAAUUCAAUUGGAGAGGUAAUUCAGAUUAUUGUGGGAUGAACCUCAACAAUUUCAACAAGGUGGAUAUUGCAGCAAGACGAGUUCUAUUCAAAACCUAUGCAGCCCCACAGCAUCCCCCACAACAAUUCCAAUCAAAUCAAAGUAUGCCGUGAAUUAUAUGAAAUUUUGAAGGACUAAUUUCUUUGACGCGGGUUCACAAAAAGAAGAACAAUUGUCGCCACGGAAGAGUUCUAUCAGUGGCCAUAUUGAACCGUCACAGCCACACAACAAUCAGCCCAAUUCAAUUCAGGUACGUCCUUGAAUAAUGAUACACUUAAUAAGUUACUCACCUCUUUGAAUCAGGGAGUAGAAAAUCAAAACCAGGAGAUGCAAGACCGAGUCAAAAGAGUGGACGAAUGGAUAUGCAAGUUUGGGCAGAUUGUGGAAUUCAUGGCACAGAUUCGAGAUCAAAGUGAACUUUCCAACUCAAACAUUGCAAAUUCAAGGCAGAAAGUGAAAUCGAUGAAGCCAUCACUUUGGAAGGUGACAUGAAGGAUGAAGCUGUCCAGAACCAUCAAAACAGCACCGAACAUGGAUGAAUUGAUGCUGCAAGCAGAAGAUGAGGAGGACGACCUGGGCAGUUUAGAAGAAUUUUGCUGCAACCUCCUCAAAUCCCUAUGUCAUCCAACUCAGGUGAGGAAGUUCUAAAUUCACUUCUUCUAACAUUAUUCCACCGAAUGUCCUUUUGUCCUUGCAGGUUUUUGAUUCCAAAUAUCAAAGAGAGUGAAAAAGCAUUGUGGAAGCUCUUCCAAAGGUGCAAGUGAUAUCCCAAUCUUGGUGCACCAAAACAAAGUUCCCCGAUGGUAUUGAAACGUUCAAAGAACCUUGCAACCAAGAAAAGGGAUUCAAGAAAAUGAAGUGGUUGAAGCAUAUCAAGAAUACAUCCAAGAGCUGUGCAUGAGACAAUCAAGCCCAAAGCAGUUGAGUUUGAACACGGGACAAGCCACAACCAUCAUAGUAAACCUGGCCAAGUUCAAAGUCCCGGAAAUGUUCAAAAAUGUGGUGUUUUGUCAUUGAGUUUGUGUCGGAAAAAGAAAGUAAGCCAUCUUCUCCAAUUUUAAUUUUAAUUUAUACUAACAUGUUUCUGAUUUUGNUGCGAUUGCUUCAUUCAUUUGAGCCAGCUGCUCAUCGAUUGAAGUUGCACCAAUGGUCAUGACUUGCAUGGCUGAACUGUCGCUUGAAUCGGCAUCAGAGAGCAUGGAUUCGGAGUAUUUGAUCGGAUCAUAUUUUUAUAUAUUUUUACUUCGAAUUCACUCAUCUUUUCUUAGUUAGUUCCUUAUAUUUUUGAGCUAUUUACGUUAUUUUUGUGUUUAUAGGAUUUGUUAUGCAAAGAAAAUAAAAAUAGAACAAGUGAAAUUUUAUGUAAUAUAUUCGUCAAAACUGCUUGUGUAGAUCAGCUGACUUUGGGAGCAAGUUGCGAACAGCUCAGAAUGAAUUAGAGAAUGAGCCUUAUAUGCUUGGAAAGCUACAGAUGUCUAUUUUCUAGAACACUUCGCAGAUUGUUAAUAUUAUUUUUCUAGAAGAAGUUAUGGGCAUUUGAGUAAGGGAAGGUCUAGCUGACAACAACUUGCAGAUUGGAAUUGAAAAACAGACAAAGAUGACAAAGAAGAGCAUAAAACAUAAAAUCAUGAUGCAUAAUCAUGAUGAAUGAUUAAGGCUGCCCUUUGGUUUUGUCUGAAAGGCAACAAAUACAGCAAAGCACAAGGUUGGCAAAUAGAAGAAAAGUCAAAUAAAGAAAUAAAUAAAAAACAGCAAGUAGAUGAGGGCUCCAGCGAAGAGUGAGAACAGACAGAGUGAGGACAGAAGGCAGAGAGAUGGAUAGAUAGAACAGAAGCAAAAAGAGUGAGGACGGAGGCAGAGAGAUGGAUAGAUUAGAACAGACGGGAAAGAGUGAGGGCAGAGAGCAGAGAAGUGAGCAGGAAGUGUGCGGAGAGAGAAGCGCAGAGUGAGGGCGGAGAGCAGAGAAGUGAAAGCAGCGAAGCAGCCUUGCGGGGAGAAAAAAGAAGGAGCAAGCUGCCUAUCUCUCGGUUAAAUCUUUCCAAACUUAUAUUUUAUUUCUGUUUAAAUAAUGUGUAACUAAAUUUAUUUUGGCUAGAGGUUAAUUCAAAGCCAU
rnacentral:lncRNA from 1 species